GUCUCUGUGGCGCAAUCGGUUAGCGCGUUCGGCUGUUAACUGAAAGUUUGGUGGUAUAAGCCUACCCAGGGACG
rfam:Danio rerio chromosome 4, GRCz11 reference primary assembly.